rnacentral:rRNA from 1 species
CGAACGAGUAGAGAGCUUGCUCUUUUAAUAGUGGCGGACGGGUGAGUAACGCGUGAGUACCUGCCUUUCAGAGGGGAAUAACAUUCUGAAAAGAAUGCUAAUACCGCAUGAGAUCGCAUGGUCAAAGAGCAAUCGCUGAAAGAUGGACUCGCGUCCAAUUAGCUAGUUGGUGAGGUAACGGCCCACCAAGGCGACGAUUGGUAGCCGGACUGAGAGGUUGAACGGCCACAUUGGGACUGAGACACGGCCCAGACUCCUACGGGAGGCAGCAGUGGGGGAUAUUGCACAAUGGGGGAAACCCUGAUGCAGCGACGCCGCGUGGAGGAAGAAGGUUUUCGGAUUGUAAACUCCUGUCGUUAGGGACGAUAAUGACGGUACCUAACAAGAAAGCACCGGCUAACUACGUGCCAGCAGCCGCGGUAAAACGUAGGGUGCAAGCGUUGUCCGGAAUUACUGGGUGUAAAGGGAGCGCAGGCGGGAAGACAAGUUGGAAGUGAAAACCAUGGGCUCAACCCAUGAAUUGCUUUCAAAACUGUUUUUCUUGAGUAGUGCAGAGGUAGAUGGAAUUCCCGGUGUAGCGGUGGAAUGCGUAGAUAUCGGGAGGAACACCAGUGGCGAAGGCGGUCUACUGGGCACCAACUGACGCUGAGGCUCGAAAGCAUGGGUAGCA